GAUGAACGCUGGCGGCGUGCUUAACACAUGCAAGUCGAACGGAAAGGCCCUACUUUGUUCGGGUACUCGGGUGGGGAACGUGAGAGUAACACAUGGGUGAUCUGCCCUUCGCUUCGGGAUAGGCCUGGGGGACUGGUGCUACUACCGCAUAGGAUAACAUUUUGGUUGGUGUGGUGGAGAGUUUUUCGGUGUGGGAUGAGCUCGCGGCCUAUCCGCUUGUUGGUGGGGUAAUGGCCUACGAAGGCGACGACGGGUAGCCUGCCUGAGAGGGUGGACGGCCACACUGGGACUGAGAUACGGCGCAGACUCCUACGGGAGGCAGCAGUGGGGAAUAUUGCACAAUGGGCGGAAGCCUGAUGCAGCGAUGCCGGGUGGGGUAUGACGGCCUUCGGGUUGUAAACUACUUUCGCUAGGGACGAAGCGCAAGUGACGGUACCUGCUGAAGAAGCACCGGCUAACUACGUG
rnacentral:rRNA from 1 species